ensembl:miRNA gga-mir-12268 gga-mir-12268
AGCGCGGGGCGGGCGGGCGGCUGGCUGAGGGCGGAGGGGCAGCUGACCGAGCCGCCCCGCCCCGGUCCU